rnacentral:rRNA from 1 species
UACGGGGGGGGGCAAGCGUUGUUCGGAAUUACUGGGCGUAAAGGGCUCGUAGGUGGCCAACUAAGUCAGACGUGAAAUCCCUCGGCUUAACCGGGGAACUGCGUCUGAUACUGGAUGGCUUGAGUUUGGGAGAGGGAUGCGGAAUUCCAGGUGUAGCGGUGAAAUGCGUAGAUAUCAGGAGGAACACCGGUGGCGAAGGCGGGUCUCUGGGCCGGAACUGACGCUGAGGAGCGAAAGCGUGGGGAGCGAACAGG